GACGAACGCUGGCUGCGUGCUUCAUACAUGCAAGUCGAACGGACAGCAUCCAGUGGCAACACUGGGGAAGUGUUAGUGGCGAACGGGUGAGUAACACGUGAGGAACUUGCCCCGGACUCUGGGAUAACAGUUUGAAACGGCUGCUAAUACCAGAUGCCAUCGGUGGAUCGCAUGGUCUGCCGAUGAAAGAAUUUCGGUCUGGGAUGGCCUCGCGGCCUAUCAGCUAGUUGGUGGGGUAACGGCCUACCAAGGCGUCGACGGGUAGCUGGUCUGAGAGGAUGAUCAGCCACACUGGGACUGAGACACGGCCCAGACUCCUACGGGAGGCAGCAGUAGGGAAUCUUGCGCAAUGGGCGAAAGCCUGACGCAGCAACGCCGCGUGCGGGAAGAAGGCCUUCGGGUUGUAAACCGCUUUUGGCAGGAACGAAAAUGACGGUACCUGCAGAAUAAGG
rnacentral:rRNA from 1 species